rnacentral:rRNA from 1 species
CUGAGAGGGCGACCGGCCACAUUGGGACUGAGACACGGCCCAACUCCUACGGGAGGCAGCAGUGGGGAAUAUUGCACAAUGGGGGAAACCCUGAUGCAGCGACGCCGCGUGAAGGAAGAAGUAUUUCGGUAUGUAAUCUUCUAUCAGCAAGGAAGAAAAUGACGGUACCUGAGUAAGAAGUCCCGGCUAACUACGUGCCAGCAGC